CGGGAAUAUUGGGCAAUGGGGGAAACCCUGACCCAGCAAUGCCGCGUGAACGACGAAGGCCUUCGGGUUGUAAAGCUCUGUCCUUGGGGAAGAAGAUGACGGUAUCCAAGAAGAAAGCCACGGCUAACUACGUGCCAGCAGCCGCGGUAACACGUAGGUGGCGAGCGUUGUCCGGAAUUACUGGGCGUAAAGGGCGAGUAGGCGGCCUUUAAAGUCAGAUGUGAAAGUCUAGGGCUUAACCCUAGGAUUGCAUUUGAAACUUAAGGGCUUGAGUGUAGGAGAGGGAAGCGGAAUUCCUAAUGUAGCGGUGAAAUGCGUAGAUAUUAGGAGGAACACCAGUGGCGAAGGCGGCUUCCUGGCCUAUAACUGACGCUGAGGCGCGAAAGCGUGGGGAGCAAAC
rnacentral:rRNA from 1 species